GGUGUUUGCUGAUUGUAUGUUGCGUUACCUUGUUUUACAAAAUGGAAUUCCGAGAUGGCACUAAUACUGCAAGCCAAAGAAUUAGGUUGUUGUUUCAAGGCUGGCAGGCACAAGCACAUGUAACCGGAGUCACCACUAUUAUCACUGUUGUAGAAGAUAAUGUUCUGGCUUAUUCUUGCUUCGAAACCAAAAAAUAAGCAGCAGGUUAAAGGUUGGAAAUGGGGAUUAUAAGACAGAGAAGAAGAAAGGAAGCACACAGAUGGUACUACACAAGAUGAACCAAUAAGGAAUUAGCUGGAUGGUGGUUUAUUGCAAGCAUUAUCUCACAACUUUAGCUCAGCUAUGCUAGACAAAUAAUUGCAUUUGGUUAGAAAGUGCCAAACUCUAACAGAAUUUACACUAUGAUAGGAAUGUUCAUUUCAGCAGAAUGGAACACAUGACUGCAUGAAAAUAAAAAUACACCAGAAUGCAUAUGAGCCAGUGACGUCAUCAUUCAUCUCUGAAGAAGAGCAUUAACCCUGUGUGCCACAGAAGCACUCAUAUGAAAGGCAUGAGAAAAAACAUGUAGCAGGAAAAUGGAAUACAGUUGCAUGCUGGAAACUGAAUAUUGUAAAAC